UACAGAGGAUGCAAGCGUUAUCCGGAAUGAUUGGGCGUAAAGGGUGCGCAGGCGGCGGGGCAAGUCGGACGUGAAAUCCCGGGGCUUAACCCCGGAACUGCGUUCGAUACUGCCUUGCUCGAGGACUGGAGAGGAGACUGGAAUUCCUGGUGUAGCAGUGAAAUGCGUAGAUAUCAGGAGGAACGCCAAUGGCGAAGGCAAGUCUCUGGACAGUUCCUGACGCUCAUGCACGAAGGCCAGGGGAGCAAACGGG
rnacentral:rRNA from 1 species